GCAGGGCGAGCGCGGAGACGGACUCAGCCGCCGCGCCGUGGUGGGUAAAAUAUUUGGAGUACCUUUUAAUGCAUUGCCCCAUUCUGUUGUACCAGAGUAUGGACACAUUCCAAGUUUUCUUGUUGAUGCUUGCACAUCUCUAGAAGAGCAUAUUCAUACAGAAGGGCUUUUUAGGAAAUCAGGAUCUGUUAUUCGUCUAAAAGCGUUAAAG